UACGGAGAGUGCGAGCGUUGUUCGGAAUCAUUGGGCGUAAAGCGCGUGUAGGCGGCUUGUUAAGUCUGGUGUGAAAGCCCUCGGCUCAACCGAGGACGUGCAUUGGAUACUGGCAAGCUUGAGUACGGGAGGGGGAGGCGGAAUUCCCAGUGUAGAGGUGAAAUUCGUAGAUAUUGGGAGGAACACCCGUGGCGAAGGCGGCUUCCUGGACCGAUACUGACGCUGAGACGCGAAAGCGUGGGGAGCAAACAGG
rnacentral:rRNA from 1 species